AAAAUAUCAAUUGUGACUCAUUCUUAUAAACACAACUAUUUCUAAACAUUUGCCAAAUAUAUGCUUAGUCUUCACCCAUACUGUUCAAUCAAAUUAUUCUGAAAACCCAGAGUUACAUUUUGAAAGACGGAAUUAAUAGCCCAAGGCAACAGCACUAAAAAUGCCAAAAUCAAAUGAAUUCCAGGGAACAUACAUUUACUAAAAGUCUCUUUCAGAGUGGGGGAAAAAUUACAUAGCAGUAAGGAGAGCUAAUACGGAAGAUCAAUAGGGAAGGUCGCCUUCAGGUAGAUCCCAAUUAUCAUCCUCCUCUUCCUUCUUGUUCUUGGGCGUCUCUUGUCUAUCCUGAGUGAAGUUUCUUGAUUGAGGGCGUCUGUUGUAGUGAAAGUAACAUUAUCAUUGAAGAAUACGAUACGAGUAUGAUAACUUUCCAAUGUAUCCAUUUGCUUUUAUUCAGCCAAAAAAUUUAAAAAUAAAAAAUAAAAAAAAUCAUCACAAUUGUGUACCAUGGCUAAUAUAAGCAUGAAAAACUAUAAACAAUAGAUGUCCGCCCUCUAAUAUAUCCCCAAUCUACCUCAAGGGUCUUAGAAACGAAAAGAAACUCAAGCUAACAUAUUACUAUCACAGAGCAUUUGGAUAUCAAAGAAAAAUGGCCUUGGGCUGUCCAAAAUCUGCUCGAAAAAGCUAGAUCAUUAUGAAGCAAAAUGGAGAUCACAUUUUGGAGGGAAGAGACAGUCACUUCAGAUUGCAUGCCUAGUGCUGGUUGUCUUGAAAAGUGCUAAAAGUCCCAAAGCAAGCUGAUUUGAAGGAGAAAUUUGGGUCAUCCUCAAGCUAGACAAGUUGGGUGUACCUAACAUAGGAAGCAAAGUAGAGGAGUUUUAUGGGGUUGUGUGAGCUGAGUGAGUGUUUGUAAUUCCUAAUAUAUGUAUCCCUCGAAUUUCUUUACUUUACCUUUUAAUCCACUACGAAGAUGGUCUAGUUAUGGAUUUGCUGACUCUUGGCAAUGGCAGUACUACUUUGACGUCUAGAUCUUUAUGAGAAAAACCUCUCACUCACUUUCUCCAUUGUAAAUGCAAUUCCGGAGGUAAGAUGGCCAUGUCACCAUCCAAAUUUUUUGUCCGACACUAAACUUUAUGCUAACAAACCAACUAUCCAUCAGAAAAAAGUCCAGGGAACAUACAUUUACUAAAAGUCUCUUUCAGAGUGGGGGAAAAAUUACAUAGCAGUAAGGAGAGCUAAUACGGAAGAUCAAUAGGGAAGGUCGCCUUCAGGUAGAUCCCAAUUAUCAUCCUCCUCUUCCUUCUUGUUCUUGGGCGUCUCUUGUCUAUCCUGAGUGAAGUUUCUUGAUUGAGGGCGUCUGUUGUAGUGAAAGUAACAUUAUCAUUGAAGAAUACGAUACGAGUAUGAUAACUUUCCAAUGUAUCCAUUUGCUUUUAUUCAGCCAAAAAAUUUAAAAAUAAAAAAUAAAAAAAAUCAUCACAAUUGUGUACCAUGGCUAAUAUAAGCAUGAAAAACUAUAAACAAUAGAUGUCCGCCCUCUAAUAUAUCCCCAGUCUACCUCAAGGGUCUUAGAAACGAAAAGAAACUCAAGCUAACAUAUUACUAUCACAGAGCAUUUGGAUAUCAAAGAAAAAUGGCCUUGGGCUGUCCAAAAUCUGCUCGAAAAAGCUAGAUCAUUAUGAAGCAAAAUGGAGAUCACAUUUUGGAGGGAAGAGACAGUCACUUCAGAUUGCAUGCCUAGUGCUGGUUGUCUUGAAAAGUGCUAAAAGUCCCAAAGCAAGCUGAUUUGAAGGAGAAAUUUGGGUCAUCCUCAAGCUAGACAAGUUGGGUGUACCUAACAUAGGAAGCAAAGUAGAGGAGUUUUAUGGGGUUGUGUGAGCUGAGUGAGUGUUUGUAAUUCCUAAUAUAUGUAUCCCUCGAAUUUCUUUACUUUACCUUUUAAUCCACUACGAAGAUGGUCUAGUUAUGGAUUUGUUGACUCUUGGCAAUGGCAGUACUACUUUGACGUCUAGAUCUUCAUGAGAAAAACCUCUCACUCACUUUCUCCAUUGUAAAUGCAAUUCCGGAGGUAAGAUGGCCAUGUCACCAUCCAAAUUUUUUGUCCGACACUAAACUUUAUGCUAACAAACCAACUAUCCAUCAGAAAAAAGUGCAAUGUAAUUUGAAAAGAGUGAAAGAAAAAGGGUAUCUUCUCCUUUCAGAGGGGAUUUUCAUUGUCUACAACAAAAGGGUAAAUAGCUCCAAAACUCGACUGAACAAUAAUAUAGUGCUUAUAGACAAUGGGCCCGUAUGGAUCAAAAGAAAAAUUAAGCAGCCUGUAUGCACUAAAACGAAAGCAAACAGCACAAUAUAAGAACAAAUUGACUAAUAAUUAUAGCAAUUCCAAGACUUCAAAAACUUGUCAACUCAAAAACGGGACAAGAAACCACAAAGCAGUUCAAAAUCCACUAAUCGCCCAACUACACACAUUCAUAGAUCAAUAUACAGAACAAAUUGAAUAGAAUUCAGCCAACUGAACUGAGAAUGAAAGAGAAAAUAAGAAAUGGAAC
rnacentral:lncRNA from 1 species